rnacentral:rRNA from 1 species
GAUGAACGCUGGCGGCGUGCCUAAUACAUGCAAGUCGAGCGAACAGACGAGGAGCUUGCUCCUCUGACGUUAGCGGCGGACGGGUGAGUAACACGUGGAUAACCUACCUAUAAGACUGGGAUAACUUCGGGAAACCGGAGCUAAUACCGGAUAAUAUAUUGAACCGCAUGGUUCAAUAGUGAAAGACGGUUUUGCUGUCACUUAUAGAUGGAUCCGCGCCGCAUUAGCUAGUUGGUAAGGUAACGGCUUACCAAGGCAACGAUGCGUAGCCGACCUGAGAGGGUGAUCGGCCACACUGGAACUGAGACACGGUCCAGACUCCUACAGGAGGCAGCAGUAGGGAAUCUUCCGCAAUGCGCGAAAGCCUGACGGAGCAACGCCGCGUGAGUGAUGAAGGUCUUCGGAUCGUAAAACUCUGUUAUUAGGGAAGAACAAAUGUGUAAGUAACUAUGCACGUCUUGACGGUACCUAAUCAGAAAGCCACGGCUAACUACGUG